rnacentral:rRNA from 1 species
AUGCAUCAGAUCGCCGGGUUGCCCCUUGAUGGUGAACCUUAUGAAGAAUAUGUUCCCCUAGCUGAUGAGUUGGAUCCUUCGACUCUUUUGUACCCCAACUUCCUGCCCCGGCUCCUAGAAACUUGGACCAAGCUUGUUGUGGGUGGCAAAGUAGGUUUCAAGGAAUGGUGUGACUUCUUUCACAAUAGUGGAGUAGACUUUGCUACCCAGAGCUUAGAAGACCAACGCAUGUAUACUGCAGCUUUUCUCGCCAUAUGGCUUUGCCGCUAUGUUGGUGGUGGGCCAUAUAUUCGCCCUGGGGUAUUAGUGAUGACGGCAUGGAUUUCCCUAGGACCACGCAUCUCUCUGGGUCCACCUGCUCUUUGCUCCCUUUAUUACUCACUUUGGCGAAUUUGUACUCAUCCUAUUGGUCCCUCGUUCAUACAUAGGAUUUAG